rnacentral:antisense_RNA from 4 species
UGUGGGAGCGGGCUUGCUCGCGAAUGCGGGGUGUCAGCCAAUAUCUAUGUCACUGACAGAUUGCCUCCGCGAGCAAGCCCGCUCCCACA